UGAGGAAUAUUGGUCAAUGGGCGGGAGCCUGAACCAGCCAAGUCGCGUGAGGGAAGACGGCCCUACGGGUUGUAAACCUCUUUUGUCAGGGAGCAAGAACAGGCACGUGUGCCUGACUGAGAGUACCUGAAGAAAAAGCAUCGGCUAACUCCGUGCCAGCAGCCGCGGUAAUACGGAGGAUGCGAGCGUUAUCCGGAUUUAUUGGGUUUAAAGGGUGCGUAGGCGGACUGCCAAGUCAGCGGUAAAAUUGCGGGGCUCAACCCCGUCGAGCCGUUGAAACUGGUGGUCUUGAGUGGGCGAGAAGUACGCGGAAUGUGUGGUGUAGCGGUGAAAUGCAUAGAUAUCACGCAGAACUCCGAUUGCGAAGGCAGCGUACCGGCGCCCAACUGACGCUGAAGCACGAAAGCGUGGGUAUCGAACAGGAUUAGAUACCCUGGUAGUCCACGCAGUAAACGAUGAAUGCUAGCUGUCCGGGACGAAUGAGUCCUGGGUGGCACAGCGAAAGCGUUAAGCAUUCCACCUGGGGAGUACGCCGGCAACGGUGAAACUCAAAGGAAUUGACGGGGGCCCGCACAAGCGGAGGAACAUGUGGUUUAAUUCGAUGAUACGCGAGGAACCUUACCCGGGCUCAAACGCACUACGAAUAAUCCUGAAAGGGAUUAGCCAGCAAUGGCGUGGUGCGAGGUGCUGCAUGGUUGUCGUCAGCUCGUGCCGUGAGGUGUCGGCUUAAGUGCCAUAACGAGCGCAACCCCUACCGACAGUUGCUAACUGGUGAAGCAGAGGACUCUGUCGGGACUGCCGGCGCAAGCUGUGAGGAAGGCGGGGAUGACGUCAAAUCAGCACGGCCCUUACGUCCGGGGCGACACACGUGUUACAAUGGCAGGUACAGCGGGAAGCCACCUGGCGACAGGGAGCGGAACCCGAAAACCUGUCUCAGUUCGGAUUGGAGUCUGCAACCCGACUCCAUGAAGCUGGAUUCGCUAGUAAUCGCGCAUCAGCCAUGGCGCGGUGAAUACGUUCCC
rnacentral:rRNA from 1 species